UUCACUGACUCUGAACUUGUUUAGUCAAGGCCAUAUCACAGUGGAGGUUCCCUCCUCCCUUCAGAGAAAGGCGCCUCUCUCCUUGAUGGCCUGUUCCUUCUGCUGGGGUCUUGUUCACCAGGAUCUUUCAUUUAGAUUGUUUUUAGGCACCGCUUCUUAAGGACGACACCUGGCCCCUGAGGUUUGCACGGGAGUGGGUGGAGCUUGGGCAAUGCCCACGCGGCUGCGGCCCGGGGCACACUGUGUGCAGUACAGGUACUGGCAAUCCUCAGCUCGUGUUUGAAGCUACCUCCCUACUUACAUCAGAGAUUCUGCUGCAGGCUGAUGGCUGAUCCUGCUGCAUACAAGGAUUACUGGAGAGGUGUGCUGUUCAGCUUUCGGAUCCUGGGAGAAGCCCCUGGAGACACAACUAAGCAGACAAGCAGAGACAGAUUCCAUGCUUCAGCAAACCACACAGGUGCAAAUCUCAGGUCUUCACAGGAGGUAUCCUCAGAGGUCAGUUAAGAGAAUCCAUUCUAGUUCUGAAACACAAAAUGAUCAUCUCACAUAAACAAAUUUCUCAGCGAAUAAGUGCCUAGGUUGCUGUUGGAAGGGUUCCCAGGAUGGGACGAUAACAUUUGACAACCACCAUAGGGGUUUUAUCUUUAUUAACCAAAGUGCAGCUCUGGGGGAUGUCUCAAUAUGAAUAAAUGAUGUUUUUGCUAAUGCAGCCAGUAUUCAAAAGUAACAAAUCCACUGCUUUACAUGGCAAGCAAUAGUGACAGUUUUGUUUUCCUAAAUAAUCUGUCUCAUUAACUGAAGCUAUCUACUUUCUUAGCAUUACCUCACUUAAUGCUGCCACUUGGAUAAACACAAACUGCCUGAAACAUAUAUAUUCUUUAUGAUCCCCAAACUCUGCUCCUCUAUGGCUCCUUUUGUUUUUAUUGAGUGCAUUUUAUGGUGGUAAAAGGGUACAGACUGAACCAUCACUUUCUGGUGGCUGUAAUUUAGCCUUUAACAAGCAAAGCUCCCAAGUCCCAGAGAAGUGUAAUAGCUCAGGAGCGGAUGCUGGGGGCGCCAAUGAGGUUGACUUUGGUAAAAGCUGAUCGCUACUCAGACAUGAAAAUGAGGCUGCAAAAGCAUUCUCCAAUGUGUACGUGAGAAGGAACAAAAAUGGAAUGCUAGACGUAGAUAAUUGGAAAAUUUUUAGCUAAAACAGAGGCAGCUGAUGUCAUGGUAAUAAUCAAAUAGCAAUCAUAAUAUUGGUAACAGCUCUCAUUCAUCAAGUACCACAAAGUAUGGUAUCUUGUACGAUGCUAAGCACUUCUCAAGCUCAACUCAUUCUGUCAUUACCUUAUGAACUGCACAAACCUCUUAGUCUUUAAGAUCUAGUUUAUAAAUACGAAAAUUUAAAAAUAAGGAUGAAAAUCACAAAGCAAU